GCCGUGUUCGUGAGGAUCAAAACCGUCAUGUAUCAUGGGUGACUUGCUGACUGAUCGACAAAUAAUAAUGAGCAAUUAUUUACGAUGUAAAGUUCCUUGUAGAUCAGACAGUCGGCAGUCGGCGCCAAUGUCGAACAAGCCCAUUAAGAUUCAACCACAAAGACCAGGGAAGUUUUCUGAUGCCUCGCAAAGAAGGGCACCUGGCCACCGUUCAUCUAUCAGAGAAGAUCUGUGGACAGACUAAGUUCCACUGUCACCCAGGAGCCUGUGUCCAUGGCAUCAACUCCCUCCUGCCCACAGUUCUGGCCAACUACUUCAAUAUUGACACCAUUGUCACUCAGAUUAAGGUGCUGCAUUUGACACUGUUGACCAUGAUGUCCUUCUGGAAAGACUAGAGAGGUGAGAUGGCUUCUCCGGUCCAGUUCUAAAUUGUUUUAGGACCUAUUUAACCAG